AAGUCGUAACAAGGUUUCCGUAGGUGAACCUGCGGAAGGAUCAUUACCAAUUUUAUCGGGGGACUUCGGUCCCUGUCUGAACCCUUGUCUUUUGCGUACUAGUUGUUUCCUCGGCAGGCUUUGCCUGCCGGUUGGACAGUAUAAAACCUUUUGUAAUUGCAAUCAGCGUCAGAAAAAACAUAAUAGUUACAA
rnacentral:misc_RNA from 1 species